GUUGAAAGUGCUCGGUACAAGGAGAGGUAGAAAUAUUAGAAUUUUGAAGGUUCGCGGAUCCUGCUGAUGGAUUUUCACCUCGUAUUGUAAAUGGAGAAUGACCAGAAAUACCUCUUUUCCCCCACAAUCAUUGCCCUUUCGAUCAGACGACUAAGGCCGAGCCCAUCAGAGCUGCAGAAGUGGGGACGGUGACUUUUGGCAGUUUUCAGUCAGCUCUGAGGUAUGCAGGUAUGAAGGCACACUUAGCAAUCGAACAGUAACAGAAAACCGUUUACAUGUGGCAUCUGACGAAUGGGUUACAGAGAUGGCAUUGGUAGAGCGGGCUGCUGCUCCACAUUGAUCAGAGGAAGGCUUCUUAUUGUCCAGGACUGGACCUGCUCAUAGACAUUUGUGUGAGUGACUGUCCUUGCUCCUUCCUCCCUGCUCUCCUCCAAACAGCCUGCAGUGUGUAGAGAAGAGGGCAGUAUUGCUGUGUCCUUCCAUGGCUGAUCGUGUGCUUCUUUAACUUCGGAGAUGAAGGAGGACUUACAGAGGACCCAUCCGACCCUGCUGCCUUCAAUAGAGACGUGCUGAUAGUGAACACAUGAUGACACGGCAGACAGACCGGAGAUGACAACUAAAACACAUGGCGUCUGGAGUCCCAGGGUGUGUUUAUGAACUAUCAGCUACUUUGACUAGUCUCCUACACAGGACCUGCUCAGUUCAUCAGCUGGUUCCUUUUUCUUUCGUGGACUGGGAAAAGUUUCCAGCAUCAACAUCAACAACAAAAAAAAGGCAAUUUCAGUUCAGUUCUCUUUAAAUCUAUCUGAUUCAGUUCAUUUCAGUUCAGUUCUCAUUAAAUCUAUCUGAUUCAGUUCAUUUCAGUUCAGUUUAAUUCUUGUUGCAAGAAACUAUGGCAACUAGCCCUAAGGAAGUGUUUCAGCCAAUCACAUCCAGGGGAAAGUCUUCAAAUGGUUUUCAAUUGGUUGGGUGGAUUUGAUGCUUUUUUACUAGGAAUUCUGCCCGGCCUUUCCUGGUGUAUAAAUGCUUUGUGUG